rnacentral:misc_RNA from 1 species
GGCAAGGCAGAUGGUUGAGAGAUUAGGAUUCAGCAAAAAGAUAGGCCAAGUUGCCAUUGGAGGAGGUGGUGGAAACCCUUUCCUAGGCCAACAGAUGUCAACCCAGAAAGACUACUCCAUGGCAACAGCCGAUGUGGUCGAUGCUGAAGUAAGGGAGUUGGUUGAAAAGGCGUACGAAAGAGCUACACAAAUCAUCACAACUCACAUCGACAUCCUACACAAGCUUGCUCAGCUGUUGAUAGAGAAAGAAACUGUUGAUGGUGAAGAGUUCAUGAGCCUUUUCAUUGAUGGCAAGGCUGAGCUAUACAUUUCUUGAUUUCACCAAUGUAUCUUCACCACUCUAUUGUAUUAACAAAUAUACAUACAAAUGUACACAUUGAGAAAUUUAUUUUUCAUAUUUU